rnacentral:rRNA from 1 species
UACAGAGGUCUCAAGCGUUGAUCGGAAUUAUUGGGCUUAAAGGGUGCGUAGGCGGCGCUGUAAGUGCCUUGUGAAAUCCCAUGGCUCAACCAUGGAAUUGCUCGGUAGACUGCAGCGCUUGAGGUUGGUAGGGGUCGCUAGAACUCUAGGUGGAGCGGUGAAAUGCGUAGAUAUCUAGAGGAACGCCAAAGGUGAAGACAAGCGACUGGGCCAAUUCUGACGCUGAGGCACGAAAGCGUGGGUAGCGAACGGG